AUUUGUGUUCAGAUGGGUAUCUGCUGUAGCUGGUGUUCUCAUGUUGCGACCCGCAUGUAGUUUAGUGCAGUCCGGGUGUAAUUUUGUAAUAUUGUGUUUCCUGUGUGAUGGCAAAGAGAGACCUGUUAUCGGAAAACGCUUUGUUAAUGACGUGUCGAUGUACACAUUCAUUCAAUUAAUCCUAUUAGACAUUUGAAAGGACUCCUAGGACAAGUCAGCCCGUCACAAGGCCUCUACUUGUACACAGGACAGCACAACACAGAAGGAGGCGGACAAACAUAAAUGCCUUAAGUGGGAUUCGAACACACGGUCCCAGUGCCAAAGCGCACGAGGUCUGUGCCUCAGACAGCGUGGCCACGACGUCCGGCACGUAAAACCCUAACUAAACAUAAUUUAAACAUUAUCCUUUUAAACAUUCCUAUGGUAGAUCCUAAUAAUGUUGUCACUAAAGUGAAUUAAUCUCUUUUCAAAUAAAUUGGCGAAUGUUUUAUCAAUUCAAACCUUUAAAAGUUAAAAGUAAUUUUUUGUUGCUUGAGUUUAUCAUUUGGGGCUGUUUUUGUGCUAUUUCUCUCAUUAUUCCACUUCAUUUAAUUUCUAGCAAAUGACGUAACUAAGGGAAGGAGUGCAAACGAUUCCGUCUUGUGUCUGACUUUGGUAGUAGGCCUUCGUAAUUUUUAUGUUUCUAAACGGCGUUCCAUAAGGGAGAAGCGUUUAUAUUAGUAGUACUAGCCCGACUAACACCUUUAAAAAAAUAAGUAAUUUGUCGUUUAGGGGUACUUUAUGAACUGGAACACAGAAGAAUCAAUCACACAAAAUACAUCAUUAACCAGCUUUAAACCAGCCCAUCACAUGCGUUAUUAACCAUAGAUAUACCUGCACGGUGUUAGCCACCACGUUCGGGCUUACGUUCGUCAUAUCUUUGCACAGGCGCAAUUACGAGAUAUAGUGUAGGUUUAUGGAGUGACCUUUAAAUCUAAGAUAUUCGCCAAACCUUGAUUUUUAACAAGCUACGUGCUUGCGAGCUGGCGUUUGACUUAGUGCGCUGCAUCUAAUCUAUUUGCUCUUUUAAUUGUUUAGCCUUUGAUGUACGCAUGUGUCGUGUUGUGGCUUGUGAUUGAGCAUAAAGAAAGAUUCAGUACGAUAAAUAUGUUCAAUUGCCACAAUUUCCACAUCUCGCAACAAAGGAAUUUGGCUAACACUUUCGCAAAUUCACGUUCCAUUUUUGAUGUACUUCCAAUUUUUGGUGUUAUAGGCUGUUAGGGGAGCUCGCACACAUUGUCCUAGGGCUACACUGUCUACGGUUAAUAUUAUCGUAUUAAUAGAAAUACCAGGUCAACCCCUCAACAAAAAAUUUUCCAGGGCCACUCCCUGGAGCGUCCUGGAACAACAGCACUCAUUGCACACAAUUAAGCGAACACAACUGAGUACCUUCCUUGAAGCCUAGCUGUAGUUUAAUUGAAAUGAACAGUGAAUGACAUAAGAGUCUUCUUUUUGACUAAAUUCCUGUAACACACUUGGACGUAAAGCGCACAGACAAACAUCUGCAUACCAUCGUCGAAAGACCUUUCGACCAUUCUGCAUACAUUCAAUAAAGAGCGUUUCGAACUCGUGGGGACAAAAGACGUAGAGGUAUUUUUUCUCUUAAACGUUCUAUGUGAAUGUUUUUAAAGUCGCAAGACAACAAUAUACUUAAAACCUGUAUUACAUUCGCUUGCGUCUCCCCUGUGCGCAGUUCUGCCCAAGGUAUGGUACAGCUAGUUUGACUUAAGUGUUUUUACCAGUAAAAAGUAAAAAAAAUUCUGACUUUGAACUCAAUUCCACGACCGUGUGACAAAGGCAAAUUCUUUGAAAUUUUCUCACCUAAAGCUCUUUAUAUUAAGAGCAAUGCGUUUACUUCGUUCUUCACUUCAGCCGAAUAUUGACACUGUUCUCACCGUUAAAUUAAAAUGGUGUACUGUGGGGCCAGUUGUUACACUGGAUAAUGGGCACCUUGUUACAGUGUACCAGUGUGACCCAUAUUUUUGCAAUAACUUGCGUUGGCAAAUGAUUACAUUUUAUUUUUUUAUCAUUAAAGAUGGUACGAACAUACAAAAGGAAGACUAAUAGAGUUAAUACAAGUUUGGAAACGUUUAAGUUAGCAGCUGAAGUAGUCUUUUCUGGAAGAAUCUCGUUAAGGCAAACUGUUAAUAUAUGAAAAAAAUGUUUCGUAUGUUUAAAGUUAAUUUCUGUAAUUAAUUGUUAAUUGGUAUAUUGUCUGUAAUUAAUUACUUAAUAAAGGUCUGAAUUGUUCCUUCUGUUUACUAA